GAAGUUGCUCGGCGCCCUCGCUGACGGCGGCCGACGGCCUCGGGCGGCGCAGUCCGGUCAGGUCUUGUGGCGUCCCGCGGAGGCGACUCCCUCAGGUGGCGCCCGCGGCGGCCGCUGUGGCGGCGGCGGCAGCGGCGACAGGACAGACGACCGACCGACCGACUGCGCGGGCGGCGCGGGGCGCGCUCGGGCGGCGGGGGUGCGCGUGCGCGCGCCGGGGCGCUGACCCUGGGCGGGAGGAGCCGCCGCGCAGCGCUCGGAGCCGCAGCUCAGUCUCGCGGCUCAGUCUCACACUGAAAUUGCCCGCUUCACAGCCCGGCUUCCCCGGUUGCUAGGCAGAUUUCGCCUCGCACACUUCCGGGUUGAGGCGCGUCUCUCCGAGUGAAGGCGCCACAAGCCAAUGAGGUCCAGCCAGGACUCCCAGGACCCGCACCCCAUGGAAGGUGUGGCCAGCUUCAUGACAGACAGCGCAUGACGACCAGCGAGGCCAGACCAGAGGAAAAUGAUCAGUGGAGGAGAUGGGGACUCAGGCUUCCAUUCACGUCAUCUGGCUCAGGAUUUGGGGACUGCAUCCUCAUGCUGAAGACCCCGCCACAGAGGGGGCCCCUGUGGGCAUGGCAGCAAGGGUGGCAGCCGUCUUUGGGAUGGCUCACAAAGCGGACAGAGGAAACAACAAAGACACAGCACGUGGCUCCUGUAAGUCAUUUUACUUUGAAUAUAUAGGAAACAAAA